GGUUGAAAGCUAACUUUUAUAUUAUCAAGUUUCCCCAUUUCUGAGUAAUUCAAUUAUGAGAUUUCCACAUGCAAUUAAGGAAAUGCAAAACAAUACCUGUAAAACUAUUUCAAAAGAGAUUUAAUAUAUUGUGUCAGUUUGCUUUGCACCAGUUUGUCCAGGAUUUAAUGACAAGGUUGCACGACUUGCUCUAGCUUGAUCACAUCAAACGAAAUCAAAUAUUUUCUUAAAUUUUCCAAAAAUGCCAAAUUAAGCCUUAUGCCUUGAAGUAAAGGUAUUAUAUGUUGUAACAACAAUAUGAUGUGGUUCCGAGUGUACUAUCAUGCCCACUCAAUUUAAAGACUUUUACAACGGUGUACCUACCACACACCAGGUUUGGGUAAUAUGAACUAUUUUUAUGGACUGUAUGUUAAAUUGUAUCGUAUGAUUACAAUGCUAAUUAAGUCAUCUAAGUACUAAGUGAAUGGAUGGGAAAUUUUAUGAACCAAAGAAUCAGCAAGACCAAUCUUACUUCCGACUUCAUAAAAAACUACAAAAAUAUCGAGUAUGCUUAUACAUAACAAAAUCUACAGUAGAAGUCCAUACACUUUUGAAGAGAAUUACUUUAACUAACUGAUCCCACAAAUUUAAAUGAAUUAUGAGGUACCCAUUCUUAUUAUCUUGCCCUUUUAUGAAACCGUGUAAGAGUAGCAUACACUUUUUAACAGAUCUGC
rnacentral:lncRNA from 1 species